CCUACGGGUGGCAGCAGUGGGGAAUAUUGCACAAUGGGGGAAACCCUGAUGCAGCGACGCCGCGUGAGUGAAGAAGGAUUUCGGGAUGUAAAGCUCUAUCAGCAGGAACGAGACAAGAAGGUACCUGACCAAGAAGCCCCGGCUAACUACGUGCCAGCAGCCGCGGUAAACCGCAGGGGGCAAGCGUUAGCAGGAAUGACUGGGUGAAAGGGGAGCGGAGGGGGAUUUUUAAGUCAGCGGUCAAGCCGUGGGUCUAAACCCCAUCCAGCCGUUGAAACUGGCGAUCUAGAGUGUGCGAGAGGUAUGCGGAAUGCGUGGUGUAGCGGUGAAAUGCAUAGAUAUCACGCAGAACACCGAUUGCGAAGGCAGCCCACCGGUGCACAACUGACGCUCAGGCACGAAAGCGUGGGUAUCGAACAGGAUUAGAUACCCCAGUAGUC
rnacentral:rRNA from 1 species